AGCGAACGCUGGCGGCAGGCCUAACACAUGCAAGUCGAACGAACUCUUCGGAGUUAGUGGCGGACGGGUGAGUAACACGUGGGAACGUGCCUUUAGGUUCGGAAUAACUCAGGGAAACUUGUGCUAAUACCGAAUGUGCCCUUCGGGGGAAAGAUUUAUCGCCUUUAGAGCGGCCCGCGUCUGAUCAGCUUGUUGGUGGGGUAAUGGCCCACCAAGGCGACGAUCAGUAGCUGGUCUGAGAGGAUGACCAGCCACAUUGGGACUGAGACACGGCCCAAACUCCUACGGGAGGCAGCAGUGGGGAAUCUUGCGCAAUGGGCGAAAGCCUGACGCAGCCAUGCCGCGUGGAUGAUGAAGGUCUUAGGAUUGUAAAAUCCUUUCACCGGUGAAGAUAAUGACUGUAGCCGGAGAAGAAGCCCCGGCUAACUUCGUGCCAGCCGCCGCAGUAAUAC
rnacentral:rRNA from 1 species